GUGUGUGUGUGUGCGAGUGCGUUUUGUCCACGCCCGGGAAAGCGAAAUUCAUCCAAGCAAACUUUGCAGCUCAUUUUAAUCAGCCUCAAUGGGGUUAGGUUACGCUUUGGGCGUGCGGGUUUGGUGCAUGUGCGCGGGCGCGCGCCCACCUGCCGGCCUGAAGUCUUAUUUACUGUCAUAAAUAUUCAUUGUCAUAUUUGGCAUUUAGAUUGAUGCUAAUGUAAAAUGUUUGCAAACUAACCCCAAAGUCCCGGCGGGAGGGUGAGCCGUGCAGUGUACAAACUACAUGCAGCUUCCACCGACAGUUCAAGCAGUUCAAGGAGCCCAAAGAGAGGGCGGGGAGGAGCAUGGAGAGUUCGUAAAUCCCAUUUCCGCUGCCAACUUGCCGUGCCACAGUGACGCGAGCCUUGUAAAAGGUGAGUAAGCGAAACAGACACCUGAGUGCAGUUCAUUCCGAUGCCAACCGGACAGUGCAGUGCCGGGGAUCCUCCUUAUCGCCGGCUGGCAGAAACCGAACCAAAGCCCAUCGCACAGUGAUCAGUCGGCGUGAAUAGUGGCGAUGAUACCGUACGUAUCGUCUUCUAAUUGUGUGACUAGCGGGCGUUCAUAAAUUAACAAACAACGAAAUCCGGAUGGCAGAAACCAGGGGCAGCACGGGGCUUAGCAGCUGACGAUUGCAUCGAAACCGGGCUGCAAGGCACAAGUAAUCCAUUCCGUGUACACACACAGAACACUGCCGGUGCCACAGUGAACCGGCUGAAAGGUCGGUAUCAUGUAUCAUGUCGAGUGGGGCAUACGAGUGGGACCGUUGAAGCUGGGCCCCUUUCCUGGCGCUGGACAAGCGUUAGCUUUCAAUAUUUAAUUAACGGAGUUUCGUGUGGAUGAUCCGUACGCGUGUGUCAGUGUUUGUAUCGGAACGUUUGAUAUGAUGCAUUAAGGGCCUUGCUUCGUAUGAUAUCUCGUCACCGGCCGGUGCGUUCCGUAGGUCGUUCGGGACCGUUAGAAGCCGCACACCAUCCCGGAAGGGCCGGAGUCUUGGUGUGGUUCGGACGAGCUCGGACGAUAUCAAAGAAAUCAUCACACCGAGCAUCGUUAUCAUACACAGUGAGAGAUAGAGAGAGCUAUCAAUGUGGCUUAUUGGAGCCGGUGGAUGCAAUGUCGUGAAACGCUAUUGGCGUGUAAAUAAUGUAUGAUUUAUGAUUCAUUAUUUAAAAUACUUCAAUAUGACACGUGUGUUUCUGUGCGCAAGUACAUCCAACAGUGCGGACGCUUUUGAUUUAUCCUGCUGAAGUAGGUAUUGGAAAACAUAAUUGAUACAGGGGCAUUGAUAACACGGAGACACGGAGCAUGUGAGCACAGUGUUUGAGAGGUUUACUUGAACAGAUCUUGAUAACACCUCAAACCUAGUACCGAUACAUUGCGUUGCUUAUCACGUCCUUACAAUCACACCUUCAGAAAACAUGCUUUUCGAUUCAAAAUCUCGAUGAAAAGCUUUCCCAAAUAACCUCCCACCCAGCUGGCAAGAUGCAUUGAUAGAUCCAAUUGUACCACACCCUGGUUCAACAUUUAGCUCCAAAAGGCAUCACCGAAUCUCGAGCUA